AGCUUUGAGCAGUGGCAGUAUUGUAGCCAGUGAGGUUUAUAUGUGGUAUGAUUACUGCUAAGAGUAGUACACUAUUCCAAGAGUAUUCUGGAAUUUUUUCACACUGCUAACAUGCA
rnacentral:snRNA from 1 species